rnacentral:rRNA from 1 species
GGUUAAGCGAAUAAGCGUACACGGUGGAUGCCUAGGCAAUCAGAGGCGAUGAAGGACGUGCUAAUCUGCGAAAAGCGUCGGUAAGGUGAUAUGAACCGUUAUACCCGACGAUAUCCGAAUGGGGAAACCCAGUAUCCAAUGGAUACUAUCAUUAACUGAAUCCAUAGGUUAAUGAGGCGAACCGGGAGAACUGAAACAUCUCAGUACCCCGAGGAAAAGAAAUCAACCGAGAUUCCCCUAGUAGCGGCGAGCGAACGGGGAGCAGCCCAGAGUCUUAAUCAAUAGCAGUGUCAGGAGAACGGUCUGGAAAGUCCGGCAGUAAAGGGUGAUAGCCCCGUAUCUGAAGAUGCUGUUAUUGUGAACUCGACGAGUAGGGCGGGACACGUGUUAUCCUGUCUGAAUAUGGGGGGACCAUCCUCCAAGGCUAAAUACUCCUGAUUGACCGAUAGUGAACCAGUACCGUGAGGGAAAGGCGAAAAGAACCCCGGCGAGGGGAGUGAAAAAGAACCUGAAACCGUGUACGUACAAGCAGUAGGAGCCNNACUGCGUACCUUUUGUAUAAUGGGUCAGCGACUUAUAUUCUGUAGCGAGGUUAACCGUAUAGGGGAGCCGUAGGGAAACCGAGUCUUAACUGGGCGAAUGAGUUGCAGGGUAUAGACCCGAAACCCGGUGAUCUAUCCAUGGGCAGGUUGAAGGUUGGGUAACACUAACUGGAGGACCGAACCGACUAAUGUUGAAAAAUUAGCGGAUGACUUGUGGAUGGGGGUGAAAGGCCAAUCAAACCGGGAGAUAGCUGGUUCUCCCCGAAAGCUAUUUAGGUAGCGCCUCGUGAACUCAUCUUCGGGGGUAGAGCACUGUUUCGACUAGGGGGUCAUCCCGACUUACCAACUCGAUGCAAACUGCGAAUACCGAAGAAUGUUAUCACGGGAGACACACGGCGGGUGCUAACGUCCGUCGUGAAGAGGGAAACAACCCAGACCGCCAGCUAAGGUCCCAAAGUCAUGGUUAAGUGGGAAACGAAGUGGGAAGGCUCAGACAGCCAGGAUGUUGGCUUAGAAGCAGCCAUCAUUUAAAGAAAGCGUAAUAGCUCACUGGUCGAGUCGGCCCGCGCGGAAGAUGUAACGGGGCUAAACCAUGCACCGAAGCUGCGGCAGCGANNGUUGGGUAGGGGAGCGUUCUGUAAGCCUGCGAAGGUGUACUGUGAGGUAUGCUGGAGGUAUCAGAAGUGCGAAUGCUGACAUAAGUAACGAUAAUGCGGGUGAAAAACCCGCACGCCGGAAGACCAAGGGUUCCUGUCCAACGUUAAUCGGGGCAGGGUGAGUCGACCCCUAAGGCGAGGCUGAAAAGCGUAGUCGAUGGGAAACGGGUUAAUAUUCCCGUACUGGUGGUAACUGCGAUGGGGGAACGGAGAAGGCUAGGUUGUCCGGGCGACGGUCGUCCCGGUUCAAGCAGGUAGGCAGAGUGAUUAGGCAAAUCCGGUCACUUAAUGCUGAGAUGUGAUGACGAACCACUAAGGUGGUGAAGCAAUUGAUGCCCCGCUUCCAGGAAAAGCCUCUAAGCUUCAGGUUACCAACAAUCGUACCCCAAACCGACACAGGUGGUCAGGUAGAGAAUACUCAGGCGCUUGAGAGAACUCGGGUGAAGGAACUAGGCAAAAUGGUGCCGUAACUUCGGGAGAAGGCACGCUGGCGGUAGGUAAAGUCCCUCGCGGACGGCGCUGAAGCCAGUCGAAGAUACCAGCUGGCUGCAACUGUUUAUUAAAAACACAGCACUGUGCAAACACGAAAGUGGACGUAUACGGUGUGACGCCUGCCCGGUGCUGGAAGGUUAAUUGAUGGGGUCAGCCGUAAGGCGAAGCUCCUGAUCGAAGCCCCAGUAAACGGCGGCCGUAACUAUAACGGUCCUAAGGUAGCGAAAUUCCUUGUCGGGUAAGUUCCGACCUGCACGAAUGGCGUAAUGAUGGCCAGGCUGUCUCCACCCGAGACUCAGUGAAAUUGAACUCGCUGUGAAGAUGCAGUGUACCCGCGGCAAGACGGAAAGACCCCGUGAACCUUUACUAUAGCUUGACACUGAACAUUGAGCCUUGAUGUGUAGGAUAGGUGGGAGGCUUUGAAGUGUGGACGCCAGUCUGCAUGGAGCCAACCUUGAAAUACCACCCUUUAACGUUUGAUGUUCUAACCUAGGCCCAUAAACUGGGUCGGGGACCGUGUCUGGUGGGUAGUUUGACUGGGGCGGUCUCCUCCUAAAGAGUAACGGAGGAGCACGAAGGUUGGCUAAGCAUGGUCGGACAUCAUGCGGUUAGUGCAAAGGCAUAAGCCAGCUUGACUGCGAGAGUGACGGCUCGAGCAGGUACGAAAGUAGGUCUUAGUGAUCCGGUGGUUCUGAAUGGAAGGGCCAUCGCUCAACGGAUAAAAGGUACUCCGGGGAUAACAGGCUGAUACCGCCCAAGAGUUCAUAUCGACGGCGGUGUUUGGCACCUCGAUGUCGGCUCAUCACAUCCUGGGGCUGAAGUAGGUCCCAAGGGUAUGGCUGUUCGCCAUUUAAAGUGGUACGCGAGCUGGGUUUAGAACGUCGUGAGACAGUUCGGUCCCUAUCUGCCGUGGGCGUUGGAAGAUUGAGAGGGGUUGCUCCUAGUACGAGAGGACCGGAGUGAACGCACCACUGGUGUUCGGGUUGUCAUGCCAAUGGCAUUGCCCGGUAGCUAAGUGCGGAAGAGAUAACCGCUGAAAGCAUCUAAGCGGGAAACUUGCCUCGAGAUGAGUCUUCCCUGUCNNACGUUGAGCUAACCAGUACUAAUGAACCGUGAGGCUUAACCUG